UCCCGAGUAGCUCAGUUGGUAGAGCGGGUGGCUGUUAACCACCGGGUCGGGGGUUCGAGUCCCUCCUCGGGAG
rnacentral:tRNA from 1 species